AUUGCUGUGAUGAGGCUAAACACCUAAUUGGUGUAUUGGGCAGUGGACAAGGCCUUUUGGUCUUGCCGUGAUCCCUUAUUUAAACGACUUCUCCUUCCACUGAGCAUC
rfam:Daucus carota subsp. sativus cultivar DH1 chromosome 5, whole genome shotgun sequence.